rnacentral:rRNA from 1 species
CCUACGGGAGGCAGCAGUGGGGAAUUUUGGACAAUGGGCGAAAGCCUGAUCCAGCCAUGCCGCGUGCAGGAUGAAGGCCUUCGGGUUGUAAACUGCUUUUGUACGGAACGAAAAGUCUCUUUCUAAUAAAGAGGGAUCAUGACGGUACCGUAAGAAUAAGCACCGGCUAACUACGUGCCAGCAGCCGCGGUAAUACGUAGGGUGCAAGCGUUAAUCGGAAUUACUGGGCGUAAAGCGUGCGCAGGCGGUUAUAUAAGACAGUUGUGAAAUCCCCGGACUCAACCUGGGAACUGCAUCUGUGACUGUAUAGCUAGAGUACGGUAGAGGGGGAUGGAAUUCCGCGUGUAGCAGUGAAAUGCGUAGAUAUGCGGAGGAACACCGAUGGCGAAGGCAAUCCCCUGGACCUGUACUGACGCUCAUGCACGAAAGCGUGGGGAGCAAACAGGAUUAGAUACCCUGGUAGUCCACGCCCUAAACGAUGUCAACUGGUUGUUGGGAAUUCACUUUCUCAGUAACGAAGCUAACGCAUGAAGUUGACCGCCUGGGGAGUACGGCCGCAAGGUUGAAACUUAAAGGAAAUUGACGG